CUGGGCUAUUUACACAACAUUUUAAUUGUUUCUCAUAAAAUAUACAACAUCACAAUCUUUACUGAAGUAGGAUAUUUUUGUAUCAUAUGCAUGAAGAUAACUUGUAGGGUAUUUUAAAUGAUGUUUUUCAGUCUCCUUCAGUUUUAAGUGGAUCUUGCAGAUGAAAACCAGUAUUAUUGAGUUUGACAUACUCAGAUUGCCCAAAUGCCAGCUGUUUAAACAGCCAAACAACCAAGUCAUCAUUGAUUCUUUAGUAAAGGUCAUCGAAGACUUAUUUGCAUGUCACAGUUUUUAUUACUUAGGAGACCUAAGGAGUACCUGCCAGGCUUGUCCAUGCUAAUGUUAUGAUUUUCUUUUUGUAGUUGAACCGUAUUUUGUGUGGUGAUGAUCUGAGGCUCUGUAAAUAUCUGGUUACUCCUCAAAACACACUAGAUUUGGCAUUUCAUGGAUGACUUGUGUUUGAGCAAUUAUUACUGCAAUGGUUGCCAGGUGAUUAUUUUCUGAUUCUCUUCUUUGUUCUACAUGGAGAAAUAAAAACAAUAAAUAAGGGAGAAGGGAAAGCUCAUGAUUCUGGUGCUCCAAUUCCCCAAGAUUAGGCCAGUGGUAGAUAUUCUAAGCUGACUCUUUAUGUCUUUUUGAUUUGUGCCUGUUACUCUGUCAGCACUUUUUUACUUUCUGGCACAAGAUGUUCUAAGAUAAUCUUGUGUUUUCUCUGCCCCAGCCCUGAAAUGAGUGAUUUUUUUUGGAAUCAGAGGUGGAGCCACUGAGGAAGCAUAGGCGAGCCCUCCCCAGCAUGUGCUCACUGGUCCUCAACAGAAGAACAGCUGCUGAAUCCACUGAGGCUCCAGUUGUGCUGGGUUGUGUCACCCCACGAUGUCACUGUUGCUGAGCCCCCAUCGCCUCUGUGUUGUGGAGCAGUUAGAGGUACACAGCAGAGUCCGUGAGUGGCUCUGCAUGAAGGACUGUUUUCUACAUGAGAAGCACAUCUCAGCACAGCUGACUCAUCAGACUCAGCAAUUCCAUUCUGAAUCUCCUCUGGACACCCCCAGGACCACCAGGACAACCCCAUCAGGGCCCUGUCACCAGGCCCAGUCUGGCUCCAUGAUAACCAAGACGCAGGUCCAGAGACAAGCGCCCUGCAUGGUGCCUGCAUGUGACUCCCCUUGGUGGGUAGUGACCAGCUCACCACGGAAGAAGCCAGGGCAGCAUGCGGCCAGCUGCCCUGCAGCCUCAGAUGACUCCUGGGCCUUAAGAAGUCAUUCUUAAAGGGAAAGCUGGUCACUUUGAGGUCCCUGGAAGGAAGGGUGAAUGUGUCAUCCCAACAGCCCUGGCAGCCAGCAGCAUGCCAUUCAUCUUCUCACCCGAUCUUUGUGACAGAGGCCACCUUCUGGGGCACAAGUCCCAUACCUAAAGGGUCCUAUCUCAGUCGGCCUCAUCCUGAGCCCUGGGAUGGGAGAGGCACCAUGCACCCCCCUGCAGCAGCCAGGAUUACCACCCAGGGGACUCAUCCUUCUGUGGCCCUGGCCAGACUUAGAAUUUGGCCCAAGACAGGACAAGCUCAGUCAGAGCAGCUUGUCAGUACCCAGAGUCUAUGUAUGCCAGACAUGGCCAAGCUGGCUCAAAGAGCAACCAGCCACCUCUGGAAGGGUGUGCCAGGAGCAGGUGGACCAGCCACCAACCUCAUCCACUCAAGUAAACAGAGAUGGCCAGCUUCUCACACCCUGAGUGACCACCACCUGACAGCUGAUGAAGUGGAGGCCUGAGGAAAAGCAGAUGGCACUGGGGCCCUGCUUUCAGGGCAGAAUAACUGAUUGACCCUGACUGGCAGUGAGUUGGUGACUGGUCCACCUGCUCCUGGCACACCCUUGCAGAGGUGGCUGGUUGCUCUUUGAGCCAGCUUGGCCUUGCCUGGCAUGCACAGGCCUCAGUGCAACAACUGCGCUGCAAAUGGAGCCACAUAGAGGAUAUGAGCAGCAGGCUCAGGAGCAGGCUGUGCGCUGCCUUUGGGGCUCCAGCCCAUGCAUCAGGGCUCCUACAGCACUGUGGGCUUCUUGGGUGCCAUGAGGCAGACCACAGGCCAUCCUGAGGAGGACUCUGGUAAGAGCUUCCUUGUGUAUGUGGAUGAUGUCCAGGAUGUUGGCCUGGUGUCCCUGAGGCAGCACUAACAGGUCCAUGACUGGGUCCAGGUCCUGCCUGGGCUGAUUGGUGAAGAUCUCCCUGGCAGCACUGAAGUGGCAUCUAUGUUCAAGUGCAGAAAGGGCCCAGUCUGGUGGAUGAACCACACGGCCAGCUUCUGGGUGUGGGCAGGAUGCCACAUCCUUUGUCACUUCCUGAUGUGCCCCACCAGCACUGAAGAGACAGCCUGGAGACAGGGCAAGAGGAAGGCUGAGAAGGAUGAGAUGGUGAGUCCCAGAUUCUUCCUGUCCCUGAGCCCACCCUGAGUGACCCUCAACCUUUAGGAAUGGGAGAGCAAGAUUGACAGCUUCAAGUACUUCACCAAGAAGAUGGACAACAGGGCACUCAGCUCAACUUCACAGCCAAUGAGUUGACAUGCAAGCAGAUGAUGGUAACAGGCUUUAAGAAAGAACAUCAGAUGGCAGCCAGUACUUCAGCCUCAGCCAGGCAUUGGAGUCAGACCAGGCCAUCCACUUUACCAUAGAGGCCUUCCACGCUAUCAGUGAGCUCUUUGCCAGUCAGCCCAGGCAGGACCUGGACCCAGUCAUGGACCUGUUAGUGCUGUCUCAGGGACACCAGACCAACAUCCUGGACAUCAUCCACAUGCACAAGGACGCUCUUACCAAAGUCAUGGAGAGCCAGCAAUAUGUGGCAGAAGUGAAGACAGAGGUGCAGAGACUGAUGACGUCAGAAUCACAGGAACAGGAUUUCUUUGGCUACUUUGGCUGAAAUUCACCACUUUCAUCCAAUUCGAGUGAGAGACAUAGACUCACAGAUGCUGCAUUUCUUGCAGCAAAAGAUACUGUUUUUUCAAAGUCACCCAGGAAUUGAUAGUGUUGAAUGACUAGAUACUCGAUCAUGGACUGUUUUGAGUUCAAGAAUUCAUUCUACAGAGAAUAAUAACACUAGAGCAAAGAGCUAGUGUCCGAUAUCGGUGGUAGCACAAAGAUGGUUUUGUGAUCAACUGAAAUCCAGCUGAAUACAGAAUUGUGUAGGAAACAGUUAAUAUGAUGAUACAAUAGAAACAGUAGCAAACAUGAAUUAAAUCAUGCUAUGAAUGCAUAAACUACCAUUGUAACUUUUGAAAGAAUGAUAAUACCACUUUACUGCUUUUUGAAGUAUGAAUAUUUUAGUGUAUGUGCUAUAGGCCUCAAAUCCUAUAAAGAAUCUCCAAGAAGUUGGCUGGAUAAAGCCUGCUGUGGAUGUCUUUAUACUCAAAGAUUGAUGAUGUAAUUUGCAUGUUUGUCCCCACCAAAUCUCCUGUUGAAUUAUAUUUCCUAUUGUGGAAGGUGGAUCCUGGUAUAAGGUGAUUGAAUUAUGAAGGCAAAUUUCUCAUGAAUGGUUCAGCACAAUCCCCUUGUAGCAUCCUCACAAUCAUGAGUAACUUCUCAUGAGAUCUAGUCACUGAAAACUCUACGUCACCUCCCUACUCUCCGUGUUUUCCUCUUGCCAUGUGAGACAACUUACUCUUUCUUUGUCUUCCACUUCCACGAUGAUUGAUAGAUGUCUGAGGCCUCCCAGAAGCAGAAGCCACUGUGCUUCCUGUCCACUCUGCAGAACCAUGAGUCAAUUCAACCUCUUUUUCAAAACAAAUCAUACAGAAAAUGGCAAAUGAGGAUUGGAGCAUUGCUAUAAAGAUACCCAAGAACAUGGAAGCAGCUUUGGGACCAUGUCAUGGGCAGAGGUUGGAAGAGUUUGGAGGGCUCAAAAGAAGACAGAUAGAUGAGAAAACUUUUGGAACAUCAUAAAGACUGGUUAAAUGGUUGUGACAAAAAUCCUGACGGAAACAUGGACAGUGAAGGCCAGGCUGAGGAGGUCUCAGAUAUAAGAAGAUUUCUGGAAAAUGUCUUUCUUUUGGAUAUGGAAAGCUUAUACAAUGUCUGUACCAUCAUUGUGCCUUAGAAGCAGUGAAUUCCCUUUCUAUUUUUGAGGCUCAUAGGCAAAAGUGACUGUUGCCUUGACUCAGAUGAGACUUUGGACUUUGUAACUUUGAGUUAAUGCUGAAAUGAAUUAAUGCUGAAAUGAAUUAAUGCUGAAAUGAGUUAAUACUCAUGCUGGAAAGGCAUGAUUGUAUUUUGCAAUGUGCGAAGGACAUGAGAUUCCUGGGAUCAGGGACUAUUCUGUCCCUGUGUCCCUACCAAAACUCAUGUGGAAUUCUAUUUCCUAAUGUUAGAGAUGGAGCCUAGGUGGCAAAAGAUUUAGUCAUAAAAGUGUAGGGGUGGAUCAUUCACGAAUGAUUAAGCACCAUCCCCUUGAUGCUGUCCUGAGAGUGAGUGAGUGCUCAUGUGAUCUGGUUGUUUAACAGGCUGUGGAACCUCUGUCCUCAUUCUGUGUUCCUCCUACUCCUGCCUUAGGAGACAUCUCGUCGUCCCUUGGCUUCAUGAUAUAGUUAGGAGGCUUCCUGAUUCCUUCCAGAAACAGAAGACACUAAGCUUCCUUCACAGCCUGCAGAAUCAUAAGUCAAUUAAUCCUCUUUUAUUUACAAUAAUACAGAAAAGUAAAACUGCGGAGAGGAGCUGUGAGAUGUCUUCAAGGUCUUUUUCCCUUUGUCUUGGCUAUUAGCACAGGG
rnacentral:lncRNA from 1 species